rnacentral:rRNA from 1 species
CCUACGGGAGUCAGCAGUGGGGGCUAUUGCACAAUGGGGGGAACCCUGAUGCAGCGACGCCGCGUGGGUGAAGAAGCGCCUCGGCGCGUAAAGCCCUGUCAGCAGGGAAGAAAAUGACGGUACCUGAAGAAGAAGCCCCGGCUAACUACGUGCCAGCAGCCGCGGUAAUACGUAGGGGGCAAGCGUUAUCCGGAUUUACUGGGGGUAAAGGGGGCGUAGGCGGCGGUGCAAGCCAGGAGUGAGAGCCCGGGGCCGAACCCCGGGACUGCUCUUGGAACUGCGUGGCUGGAGUGCAGGAGGGGCAGGCGGAAUUCCUGGUGUAGCGGUGAAAGGCGUAGAUAUCAGGAGGAACACCGGUGGCGAAGGCGGCCUGCUGGACUGCAACUGACGUUGAGGCCCGAAAGCGUGGGUAGCAAACAGGAUUAGAUGCCCGUGUAGUC